CCAAUAGCGUGUAUUAAAGUUGUUGCAGUUAAAAAGCUCGUAGUUGAAUUUCGGGAUCAUCAGGUUGGUCGUGCCUCUGGUAUGUACUGAUUUCGAUGGUUCCUCCUUCUUGAAGAUCCGUAAUGUCAUUAAUUUGGUGUUGCGGGGAAUCAGGACUGUUACUUUGAAAAAAUUAGAGUGUUUAAAGCAGGCAAUCGCUUGAAUACAUUAGCAUGGAAUAAUGAAAUAGGACGUUCGGUCCUAUUUUGUUGGUUUCUAGGAUUGACGUAAUGAUUAAUAGGGAUAGUUGGGGGCAUUAGUAUUCAAUUGUCAGAGGUGAAAUUCUUGGAUUUAUUGAAGACUAACUACUGCGAAAGCAUUUGCCAAGGAUGUUUUCAUUAAUCAAGAACGAAAGUUAGGGGAUCGAAGACGAUCGGAUACCGUCGUAGUCUUAACCAUAAACUAUGCCGACUAGGGAUCGGAUGAUGUUAAUUUUUUAAUGACUCAUUCGGCGCCUUACG
rnacentral:rRNA from 1 species